rnacentral:rRNA from 1 species
GACGAACGCUGGCGGCGUGCCUAAUACAUGCAAGUAGAACGCUGAAGAGAGGGGCUUGCUCUUCUUGGAUGAGUUGCGAACGGGUGAGUAACGCGUAGGUAACCUGCCUUGUAGCGGGGGAUAACUAUUGGAAACGAUAGCUAAUACCGCAUAACAAUGGAUGACACAUGUCAUUUAUUUGAAAGGGGCAAUUGCUCCACUACAAGAUGGACCUGCGUUGUAUUAGCUAGUAGGUGAGGUAAUGGCUCACCUAGGCGACGAUACUUAGCCGACCUGAGAGGGUGAUCGGCCACACUGGGACUGAGACACGGCCCAGACUCCUACGGGAGGCAGCAGUAGGGAAUCUUCGGCAAUGGGGGCAACCCUGACCGAGCAACGCCGCGUGAGUGAAGAAGGUUUUCGGAUCGUAAAGCUCUGUUGUAAGUCAAGAACGGGUGUGAGAGUGGAAAGUUCACACUGUGACGGUAGCUUACCAGAAAGGGACGGCUAACUACGU